GACGAACCACACAAACGUUAUUCGGAAUUACUGGGCUUAAAGGGUGCGUAGGCUGUGCAGAAAGUUAGGUGUGAAAUCCCCCGGCUCAACCGGGGAAUUGCGCUUAAAACUACUGUGCUAGAGGAAGACAGAGGUGAGCGGAACUUCGGGUGGAGCGGUGAAAUGCGUUGAUAUCCGAAGGAACACCGGUGGCGAAAGCGGCUCACUGGGUCUUUUCUGACGCUGAUGCAUGAAAGCUAGGGGAGCAAACGGG
rnacentral:rRNA from 1 species